rnacentral:rRNA from 1 species
AUUGAACGCUGGCGGCAUGCCUUACACAUGCAAGUCGAACGGCAGCACGGGGAGGGGCAACUCUUCCUGGUGGCGAGUGGCGAACGGGUGAGUAAUGCAUCGGAACGUGUCCUCUUGUGGGGGAUAACCAGUCGAAAGACUGGCUAAUACCGCAUGAGAUCGAAAGAUGAAAGCGGGGGACCGCAAGGCCUCGCGCGAGAGGAGCGGCCGAUGCCGGAUUAGCUAGUUGGUGGGGUAAAGGCCUACCAAGGCGACGAUCCGUAGCUGGUCUGAGAGGACGACCAGCCACACUGGGACUGAGACACGGCCCAGACUCCUACGGGAGGCAGCAGUGGGGAAUUUUGGACAGUGGGCGCAAGCCUGAUCCAGCCAUGCCGCGUGUGUGAAGAAGGCCUUCGGGUUGUAAAGCACUUUCGGACGGAACGAAAUCGCGCGCAUGAAUAAUGCGCGUGGAUGACGGUACCGUAAGAAGAAGCACCGGCUAACUACGUGCCAGCCGCCGCAGUAAAAC